AGCCCGAUGGUGUAACGGCAGCACAGCGGAUUUUGAUUCCGCCAGUUUGGGUUCAAAUCCCGGUCGGGCUA
rnacentral:tRNA from 1 species